rnacentral:rRNA from 1 species
AUGAACGCUGGCUACAGGCCUAACACAUGCAAGUCAGGGGCAGCAUGGACUUAGCUUGCUAAGUCUGAUGGCGACCGGCGCACGGGUGAGUAACGCGUAUCCAACCUGCCCAUGACUUGGGGAUAACCUUGCGAAAGCAAGCCUAAUACCCGAUACGCUUCAUAGAUGGCAUCUGAAAUGAAUUAAAGAUUUAUCGGUGAUGGAUGGGGAUGCGUCUGAUUAGCUUGUUGGCGGGGUAACGGCCCACCAAGGCAACGAUCAGUAGGGGUUCUGAGAGGAAGGUCCCCCACAUUGGAACUGAGACACGGUCCAAACUCCUACGGGAGGCAGCAGUGAGGAAUAUUGGUCAAUGGGCGAGAGCCUGAACCAGCCAAGUAGCGUGCAGGACGACGGCCCUAUGGGUUGUAAACUGCUUUUAUAAGGGAAUAAAGUGAGUCUCGUGAGACUUUUUGCAUGUACCUUAUGAAUAAGGACCGGCUAAUUCCGUG